GAGCGCCCCGCAGGGGGAGCGGCAGACGGGAGAGUAACACAUGGGAACGUGCCCUUUGGUUCGGAACAACACAGGGAAACUUGUGCUAAUACCGGAUAAGUCCGUAAGGAGAAAGAUUUAUCGCCAAAGGAUCGGCCCGCGUCUGAUUAGCUUGUUGGUGAGGUAACGGCUCACCAAGGCGACGAUCAGUAGCUGGUCUGAGAGGAUGAUCAGCCUCACUGGGACUGAGACACGGCCCAGACUCCUACGGGAGGCAGCAGUGGGGAAUAUUGGACAAUGGGCGCAAGCCUGAUCCAGCCAUGCCGCGUGGAUGAUGAAGGCCUUAGGGUUGUAAAGUCCUUUCGGCGGGGAAGAUAAUGACGGUACCCGCAGAAGAAGCCCCGGCUAACUUCGUGCCAGCAGCCGCGGUAAUACGAAGGGGGCUAGC
rnacentral:rRNA from 1 species